UCAAAUUUUCAGCAAUUAUUUUAUUGGUCAAUUUUUCUUACAUUAGAAUAGCUUAAACAAAUUUAAAUAGAGUGUAGAGCAGUUUUUAUUCAAUCUUAAGUAUGCAUUGCAUUGUUGAAUGGGAGUUACCAUGUUGCUGGAGUAAGGUGUCAGUUAAAAAAAUCGACAGUAAGUUUUGUUAUACUUUAGGCCAACUAGCACUGCUACUUGUUGAAAUCUUGAUACUGCACAUAAUGUGAUCAAAAAAUGCUCAUGUUGGUAUAGGAAGAAAUCCUUAUACAUGACUUUAAAUUAUGUCUAGAUACAAGUGAUUUUCUUUCCUUUGAUUUUGUGGUCCUUGUCUAAAUGGAAAAUUCCUAGGUCAUACAAUAUUAGAUCACUAAUUACUUUUGAUAAUAGCUUUUGUAAUUCUCAAUAUAGUUCCUGAUUUGUGACACAUCUAAUUAUCAUUAUUGAUAUAUCAUAUAUUAUUAUUAUUUUGGUGUGCAACAUUGUAAAAUAAUUCCUUUGUAACCUUAUUUUGACUGGUAUUUUGAAGGCUUCAAUCUACAUAAUUAGAACCUCAUGUCAUUUUUUUUCCUUACUUUCUCUCAUGUGAGAAACAUGCAUGUUAAAUUGAAGGCUAGUUACUAUUUUUCCAAUCAAUAUGAUAUGCAAAAAUAAGUCUACUAUGGGGAGAUGUGAUGUCACGAAGUGGUUAAUAAAUUUUCCAGUUGACUAAUGAGGUCAUUGGGUUAGCAGUCAUGAUUCCUCAAACAAAGAUCAUAACCAUCACCAGCAAUGUUUCUUACAUAUUAUACAUGUCCUACCCAUCUUAACUACAUUCAAUGCACAUUUGUUCUUAUUUCUUAUUUUGUUUUCUUUUUCUAAAGUAUUUAAAAACUUUACUAUGGUUAGAGGAUUUAAACUAAGAAUAUAAUACUCUCUUGAGGAAGACUACUGCCCAUCUCUCUGUAUUUGCAUGCAAUUUCAUGCAAAAAAGCAUUUUGAUCUUAUUUGCGUUAAGUGCUAUUGCAUCAUGAUCCUGCAUUAUUGCAA